rnacentral:lncRNA from 7 species
CCGCGACGGACUCCAACAAAAGCAUGGAGGAAUCAAAAACAAACCCACUAUAAUCGAUUUAUCCUUGUGUGGACCCUUUCACGGCUAGAGUACAUAUACCGGCCCCUAGAGACCUCUCUCCCCUCAUCUAUCACGAGCACAUCUAUCACGAGCAAGCAUCGAAGGACUACGUGCCGCCGUAAACCGCGGCAAGAAUAGUCACCCACUGUCGAAACCUACGCCGUCCACCAGGAACCUACACGCGGUGAUGUCGCAUGCGAUGACUACUCGGAGCCGUGGGGAUUCCUCACCGUUAUCGGACCCUUGCCGCCACGCCGCCUCAGAUUUCCGGUAAGAUGGUUUAUGCGGUGUUCUCCAUCUACUCACCUCUCUGUUGCAUGUUUCCACUCUUGGUAUUAUUGAACGGAACACGGGAUUGAUUGCACGCCGGCGUCGCGCCGCCGUGGGGUGGUUGGGUGCUGGCGCGGGGGAGGGAGAAGACCUCUGCAUUGUUCAUCUGCUGAUGGACGGUCACGAUUAGAACGAAG